rnacentral:rRNA from 1 species
CCUACGGGAGGCAGCAGUAGGGAAUAUUGCUCAAUGGGGGAAACCCUGAUGCAGCAACGCCGCGUGGAUGAUGAAGGUUUUCGGAUUGUAAACUCCUUUUGUUAGAGAAGAUAAUGACGGUAUCUAACGAAUCAGCACCGGCUAACUCCGUGCCAGCAGCCGCGGUAAUACGGAGGGUGCAAGCGUUACUCGGAAUCACUGGGCGUAAAGAGCGCGUAGGCGGGAUAGCAAGUCAGAUGUGAAAUCCUAUGGCUUAACCAUAGAACUGCAUUUGAAACUGUUAUUCUAGAGUAUGGGAGAGGUAGGUGGAAUUCUUGGUGUAGGGGUAAAAUGCGUAGAGAUCAAGAGGAAUACUCAUUGCGAAGGCGACCUGCUAGAACAUAACUGACGCUGAUGUGCGAAAGCGUGGGGAGCAAACAGGAUUAGAUACCCGUGUAGUC